rnacentral:rRNA from 1 species
AACGAACGCUGGCGGCAGGCCUAACACAUGCAAGUCGAGCGCGCCCUUCGGGGUGAGCGGCGGACGGGUGAGUAACGCGUGGGAACGUGCCCUUCUCUGCGGAAUAGCCUCGGGAAACUGAGAGUAAUACCGCAUACGCCCUUUGGGGGAAAGAUGUAUCGGAGAAGGAUCGGCCCGCGUUGGAUUAGGUAGUUGGUGGGGUAAUGGCCCACCAAGCCGACGAUCCAUAGCUGGUUUGAGAGGAUGAUCAGCCACACUGGGACUGAGACACGGCCCAGACUCCUACGGGAGGGAGCAGUGGGGAAUCUUAGGCGAGGGAGGCAACCCUGAUCUAGCCAUGCCGGGUGAGUGAUGAAGGCCUUAGUGUUGUACAGCUCUUUCAGCUGGGAAGAUAAUGACGGUACCAGCAGAAGAAGCCCCGGCUAACUCCGUG